GGUCCUAUGGCGUAUUGGUAGCGCAUCGUCACUUGGUGGACGCGUUCAAAGACCUCUCCGACGACUGUGUUGGUUCGAAUCCAACUGGGGCCC